GAAGGUCUUAGGAGUUCCAUGUCAGAAACCAGAGCCAAAGACCAAAUAUUAGAACAGAAGAUUCUCCUAGGACCCCUAUCUACAAGGAUAUUAGCAGCUUUGUCUCAGGAACCAGGGCAGAGACCAAUAUAUAUUUCUUAUUAUAUCACAAUAUCACACCAUGUAAACCCAUUUUCAAGAAGUCAAUGAGCAACUAAAUAUGCCUUUAUCCUGACAUUUGAGCACACUCUACAUACAAACCUUUCAAUGCAUAAAGCUGAAUUUCUUCUUAUUGGACCUGCUGUCUGGAAUUUAUAAACCUAGAGGUAGCAAUUCCCUCUGGGAGUAAACACAACAGAAGAAUGUGAGGAGAGAUGCACCAUGCCUCUGAUAAUGUGAGAAGCCCCAAACAUUUAAAAAAAUGGUUUCUCACACCUCUGACUCCAUUUAUAACAUGGACAUUGAGAAACGUGUGGGGUUAUUAAAAGUUCAGAUUUCACCAGCCCCAUUCAUAAUUUUUCUGACAUUUAAAUAACACAAACCAAAUCUUCAGCAUGACAAGAGUGUUACUGCUUAGAUCACAGAGCACUGCCAUUUUUCUCAACACUGCAAUUUGGAAGUUGGCUUGGAUUACUCCUUUCUUCCACUGCUUUACCCCCUGUCUCCUGUUUCCCAGCCAAUCCCCAAACAUCAGUGCAUGUGGUUAAUGCAAUUCUCAUCCUUUAAAAACCCAACUCAAAUGUCACCUCAUCUGGGAAGCCUCCUUGAUGAAACCUGGCAGAGCUAGUUUCUUCCUUCUUUGCGCUUCCAUAGGAUUGUUUAUGCAAGACUGCAGAGGCAGUACAUUGUGUUUUGUUAAUGUGUUCACAGGAUUGUGUCUCCCUGAAUGACGCACUCAAGGAGAAUGGCCUUGUCUUAGACAUCUCACCAUCCUGAGCCUCUCGUGCCUGGUAGAAAGGUACCAGAUUGAGAGGCAAAGUUCAGUCCAGCCCUUCACUAUGAUGUUGAUAUGACACCCGACAAGUGAUGAGAAGAGCUGUAUUCAAGAGGGGACUCAGUCACUAUCUGACUAUGUGACUUCAGAGGAUAAGCUGCUGGGCAGGCCAACCCUCAACACCUUUGAGGACUCAGUGAGAUGGAACAGAAUGAUUGUCUAAAGUAAGUGAGCACUCAGUAUUUAUUUAUUCAUUCAUUCAUUCUCUCGUUCAUUUGUUCAACAAAUCUGUUUGAGCACUUGCUCUCUCCCACCCAUGCUAGGCACUGAGAAUAUAUUGGAGAACAAAACAGGUGUGGUCUCUGCCUGUAUAAACAAUGGUCUAGGGAGGAAAGAGAGACAUAAAACCAAGAAUUAGCUUGAAAUAUAUGGACUCACAGUUUUAGAAAACAGAAGUCUGGUUCCGAGGACUUGCACAAUAGACAGGGAGGCCUCGCCUUUUUUAAAGCAUAAAGAAUGAUCUCCUGGGAAGGCAGUAUUUAUGCUGAGUUCUGAAGGAUGGAAAGGAUGUGUAGCCAGAAAAAAUUAUGAUAAGAGGAUCAGAAUUUCGAAGCUCAGGUCACCUGACAGGUGAAGCCCUUGAGGAAGGAGGGAACAUGCCUUGUCUGCGGAAAUGAGAUUGUCCAGAGUGACUAAAGCCCAGAGCUGGAAAGGCAGAGAGCUGGAUAUGAAGCUAGACAGACGCAGGGCCAGAUCAUGGCCUUGUGGGUCAUUUGAAGUGUUCUGAAGUCUAUUCUAAAGUCAACCAGAAGUCUACAUAGGGUUUUAGGCAACGCGAAGAUCAGAUCACAAUAGGGCGACAUCUACCCUGCCUACCUCACAGUCUCUUAGUGAGGAACAAAAGAGACCAAAGAUAAGUUUUUCCAGGUGAUCCAUAAGGAAUGAGACCACUGUGUUUCUAAAACCAUUAGUAAUUCCCAAGUGUGGUAAAAUACCAUUUGUAAAUUCCCCAGGAAUAGAGGUUCAAGAAUGACCGCUCAGGCCAUUUGAGAGACUCUGCCCCUUGAAGUGCCAGAGAGCCUGGUUUUCUCCACGUUGGAGUUCACUGUGCAAUCUGACUGUCACUUAUCAUUUCCCAUGCUAAGUGCAAGCAGCCAUUCCAAUCAAUGGCCUGCGUCCUACUGCAUCGAUUCAUCUUGGCCUUUCCAGGGGUCUCUCAGCAUAGCAUCUCCACUCAUUAAGGAGAAUGCGCCUGCAUCAUAAUGAUAAUCCUUUGCACUUACCCAGCACAUUGCCCAAGGGGUUCUCAAAGCAUUUUGUAAACUUUUAAUUAAGUUAGUCUAGUGACUGCAGGAUGGUCCCCAGCCUCUCCAAACCAAGAGGUCUGGGGUGGGGGUGGGGACGAGAGGUGAUGGGAGACAAGUACAAACCCUGCCUCUAGCACUUACUUACUGGCUUUGGGGCACAGAGUCGAGUGGGUGGAUGUGCAGGGAAUCUCUGCGUUGCUAGGAAGAAGCACUCACACAUGUAUGGCCGUGUCUGGCACAGGCAGCUUGUGGGCCUCCUGCCAUGUGUGCCCACAGGGAGAGCACCAAGGCUGGGGGCUAGAGUUGGGAGUUCUGGAAAGGCAGAUAUAGAAGGCAAGAGGGAGGACUUGCUUUCUUUAAAGAGCUGUGAAUGUGAUUUUGAGAGUAGCUAAACUCUGGCUUGGAAAUGCAUGUGUGCCUUGCGUGUAUAUGUGUGCAGGAAGGCGCAUGCAUCUAUGGUUGGCAAGAGGGUGGUGAGGAAGAGAGGAGGAAAUGUAUGUUCACAUGCUUAGAGGAAGGCGGUAGCAAGCACAUUCAUCUUCAAGCUUCUCUCUGCUUUUGGAUUUAUUUUGGCUCCCUUCUCAGGGCUACCUUUAAUCCUUCCCUGAGCCAUACAAAUACCACCAUCUUGGGGUAUCAAGUGAGGGGUGUAUAAAUCCAGCAAGUGGAACUACAUCCAUGCCCUACUGUGUUAGAGCCAUCCCCACUCCUCAGGGAAAAUGCAGAGGCAACCAAGGCUUUGCAGAUAAGUAGCAAAUUCUAAGUCUGGGUCUCCCACCAACAGCAUAAAAGGCAAGAGGGACAAAUGUCCUCAGGACCUAGCCCUCUACUGAGGACUGGGAUCGGAAGGAGUGGGAGAGCAGAGCCACCCCAAGGUGAAGCCACCUGCCUGGCCCUCCCUGUCUGGAAAGUGCCAGUCAGUAUCAGAGGUGCUAACAUCCACUGCUCCUGACAGCCUGGCUUGUCAGC